rnacentral:piRNA from 1 species
UAUUCCUAAUCUACUAAGUGCAAAACUA